CUUGGUCAUUUAGAGGAAGUAAAAGUCGUAACAAGGUUUCCGUAGGUGAACCUGCGGAAGGAUCAUUAUUGAAUAAACCUGAUGUGACUGUUAGCUGGCUUUUCGAAGCAUGUGCUCGUCCAUCAUCUUUAUCUCUCCACCUGUGCACAUUUUGUAGUCUUGCAUACCUCUCGAGGAAACUCGGAUUUGAGGAUCGCCGUGCUGUACAAGUCGGCUUUUCUUUUAUUUCCAAGACUAUGUUUUUAUAUACACCAAAGUAUGUUUAUAGAAUGACAUCAAUGGGAACUUGUUUCCUAUAAAAUUAUACAACUUUCAGCAACGGAUCUCUUGGCUCUCGCAUCGAUGAAGAACGCAGCGAAAUGCGAUAAGUAAUGUGAAUUGCAGAAUUCAGUGAAUCAUCGAAUCUUUGAACGCACCUUGCGCCCUUUGGUAUUCCGAAGGGCAUGCCUGUUUGAGUGUCAUUAAAUUAUCAACCUUGCUUGCUUUUACUAGCUGAGCUCGGCUUGGAUGUGGGGGUUUUGCUGGCUUCCUUCAGUGGAUGGUCUGCUCCCCUUAAAUGCAUUAGUGGAAUCUGUUGUGGACCGUCACUUGGUGUGAUAAUUAUCUAUGCCACUUGACUUUGAAGCAAAACUUAUCGGAACCUGCUUAUAACCGUCUGCUUCGUCGGACAACUUUUGACAUUUUGACCUCAAAUCAGGUAGGACUACCCGCUGAACUUAAGCAUAUCAAUAAGCGGAGGAAAAGAAACUAACAAGGAUUCCCCUAGUAACUGCGAGUGAAGCGGGAAAAGCUCAAAUUUAAAAUCUGGCGGUCCUUGUGGCCGUCCGAGUUGUAAUUUAGAGAAGUGUUAUCCGCGCUGGACCGUGUACAAGUCUCCUGGAAUGGAGCGUCAUAGAGGGUGAGAAUCCCGUCUUUGACACGGACUGCCAGGGCUUUGUGAUAUGCUCUCAAAGAGUCGAGUUGUUUGGGAAUGCAGCUCAAAAUGGGUGGUAAAUUCCAUCUAAAGCUAAAUAUUGGCGAGAGACCGAUAGCGAACAAGUACCGUGAGGGAAAGAUGAAAAGAACUUUGGAAAGAGAGUUAAACAGUACGUGAAAUUGCUGAAAGGGAAACGCUUGAAGUCAGUCGCGUUGGCCAGGGACCAACCUUGCUUUUGCUUGGCUUACUUUCUGGUCGAUGGGUCAGCAUCAAUUUUGACUGGUGGAAAAAGUUCAAGGGAAUGUGGCAUCUUCGGAUGUGUUAUAGCCUUUGUUCACAUACAUUGGUUGGGAUUGAGGAACUCAGCACGCCGCAAGGCCGGGUUUUUAACCACGUACGUGCUUAGGAUGCUGGCAUAAUGGCUUUAAUCGACCCGUCUUGAAACACGGACC
rnacentral:rRNA from 1 species